UUGGAAGGAGUGUGCAGCAAUUCAGCAUUGCUGUGAAGCAGACUAAGAAAGUGAGAGGAGGAGACUGUGCAUCUGAAACAGUGUGAGAGAGAACAGGGACAGCAGCGUCACAUGGACCAUGUGAGAGUGGGAACAGCAGCUUCAUAAAGAACAUGAGACAGCGUUGAGUCAACAGUGUCACAAAUAUAGUGUGAGCUCGAAUCAGUACCUUUGUAAAGAGAAGAGCUGACUUGCAUGAGAAGGGCAUUAAUGGUGGGAGAUAGAAACUGGCAGCAAAAAAGCCCCUUUAACUUAUUUCUUCUUGGAAGAACCAAAGUGUAACAUCAGAGGAAAAGAGGUGAUGAUUGGUGUAGCAUUAACUUCCAAUGAUCCAGGUGCACAUCCUGAAGGAUUUUGACAGGUACAUUUUCGGUGUAAAAACUGAUUGUUCUUCUGGAUGACAGACUGAAAAAACUUCAUAAGAUUGGAUUUUCUGAGCAAGCUGUACCUACUAUGACCCUGGAGAUGAUCAUACAUGAUUAGUGAUUUGACUACAUAUGUGAGAACAACAGAUGAACAGACUUUGAAGCAUUUUAUGUCUUAUUUCCUUCAACGAUAAACACGACUGACCCCAGAAAGUGUUCAAAUUUCAAGUUCAAAUUGUGUGUUUGUGUGUGUGUGUAUUGUGUUCAUUAGAAGGGUAGAAAUUUGUAUUGUCAUAUUACAAAGGGGUGUGUGUUGAUCAGUUCUGCUCAUUGAUUCAUUCAUUUUGUUUUAAAAUAAAUUAAUGACCUUGUGUUUAUUAAAGAAUCUUGUUUGAUCGA